rnacentral:rRNA from 1 species
UACGUAGGGCGCGAGCGUUGUCCGGAAUUAUUGGGCGUAAAGAGCUCGUAGGCGGCCUGUUGCGUCCGCUGUGAAAUCCCGGGGCUCAACCCCGGGCUUGCAGUGGAUACGGGCUGGCUAGAGGCAGGCAGGGGAGAACGGAAUUCCCGGUGUAGCGGUGAAAUGCGCAGAUAUCGGGAGGAACACCGGUGGCGAAGGUGGUUCUCUGGGCCUGUACUGACGCUGAGGAGCGAAAGCGUGGGGAGCGAACAGG